AUGGAAGUAAAUACAGCAAAGAGAAAAUGGAAUCAUCAACCGCUGUGCAAGGUUGGAAACUGUAGGGAGUCCAGGAGUGGGAGAGCUUCUGUCCCGGAGGAGAAGAGCCAUGGAUAUGCUGCCACAAUUGAGAUCGCAGAGACAGCAAAUACAAAAUGGCACAAAGAAGAAAAUAAAUGUUCCUAAGAGGAUGACUAUCAAUACUUCCUCCAUACAUAAUUUAUUCAAAUGGAUUGUUCCUGUGGAAUAAGAACAGAGUUCAGCAAAUGCAUGUGCUUCCAAAUGCAACUGAAGCCACUCAAUGCAACAUAAGCCACUCAAUGUAAAAGAAGCCACUCAUUCCCACGGCAAUGUUACAUGUAAAGGUAAAUAUGCAUUGCCAGUUGGUUAAAAUGCAGCAAAAUAUGGCUAGUAAUUUGCUUCAAGAAGAAGGAGCUACAGGAAAGUUGACUUAACCACGGCCCUCAUUCAUUCAUGCAAGCAUUUAGCCCAUCUUUAUGGAAUGCUUACUAUGAGAGGCACCGAGGCCUGAUUUCUAAUACUCCCGUCUUGUUUGAUGCCAGGUUACCUCUAGCGUUUUCCUUUUUUUGAUUAGUUUUCUUUUGUAUUUUGGGGUAUUGUUUUAUUUUGGCCACCCCAUGGCACAUGGAGUGCCCAGUGUAGGGGUGUGGAAAAGGGCAUAGGGAGCUUGACAAGAGCAAAACCAUUUUGCUGCCACCGUCCAUCUUGGUGAACUUAAGGUGACUCAUAUGAGGUCUCUGAGAAAAACAAAGUCACUAAGACUUGAGAAACUCCAGGCCCGAUUGUUCUAAAGAUAUUCAAAAAUAGCUAGAAUUACUUGAGGUUAAUCGUUAAAGUAACAAUACAAGACAUUCUGUACAGCUAUCAUCUUUCUGUAUCCUACAUGUAACUAAAGGUUAAUGUAGCAUGUUAAACACAUAAGCAAGCACUGUAAACAUUUGGGGUCCAUGAUUGGGAAGCGAUUCCCCAUGGACCCACUGGUGUAAUAAAGCUGUUCUCCAGCUUCCUUGAGUGUCCCCU
rnacentral:lncRNA from 1 species